AUUGAACGCUGGCGGCAGGCCUAACACAUGCAAGUCGAGCGGAUGAAGGGAGCUUGCUCCUGGAUUCAGCGGCGGACGGGUGAGUAAUGCCUAGGAAUCUGCCUGGUAGUGGGGGAUAACGUCCGGAAACGGGCGCUAAUACCGCAUACGUCCUGAGGGAGAAAGUGGGGGAUCUUCGGACCUCACGCUAUCAGAUGAGCCUAGGUCGGAUUAGCUAGUUGGUGGGGUAAAGGCCUACCAAGGCGACGAUCCGUAACUGGUCUGAGAGGAUGAUCAGUCACACUGGAACUGAGAAACGGUCCAGAAUCCUACGGGAGGCAGCAGUGGGGAAUAUUGGACAAUGGGCGAAAGCCUGAUCCAGCCAUGCAGCGUGUGUGAAGAAGGUCUUCGGAUUGUAAAGCACUUUAAGUUGGGAGGAAGGGCAGUAAGUUAAUACAUUGCUGUUUUGACGUUACCAACAGAAUAAGCACCGGCUAACUUCGUG
rnacentral:rRNA from 1 species